ACAGUACAAACUGAGCAGGCAAUGUCUGUAAAUGACAUGAAGCCGGGCCGUCGAGACGGCAGCAGAUGGGUAUCAGGCGCAUCUGUGGGACAGUA
rnacentral:ncRNA from 10 species